rnacentral:lncRNA from 1 species
CUACAAAUAAGUCAACAUGACCAAAAUGGUCAGUUGACCACUUUAGGAGUUAUUGCCCUUUAUAGUCAAUUUUUAACCAUUUUUCAUAAAUCUUAGUAAUCUUUUAGAAAAAUCUUCUCCUCUGAAACUACUGGGCCAAAUUUAACUAAACUUGGCCAUAAUCAUCAUUGGGGUAUCUAGUUAAAAAAAUGUGUCCGGUGACCCGGCCAACCAACCAAGAUGGCCGCCAUGGCUAAAAAUAGAACAUAGGG